rnacentral:rRNA from 1 species
GAUGAACGCUGGCGGCGUGCCUAAUACAUGCAAGUCGAGCGAACGGACGAGAAGCUUGCUUCUCUGAUGUUAGCGGCGGACGGGUGAGUAACACGUGGAUAACCUACCUAUAAGACUGGGAUAACUUCGGGAAACCGGAGCUAAUACCGGAUAAUAUUUUGAACCGCAUGGUUCAAAAGUGAAAGACGGUCUUGCUGUCACUUAUAGAUGGAUCCGCGCUGCAUUAGCUAGUUGGUAAGGUAACGGCUUACCAAGGCAACGAUGCAUAGCCGACCUGAGAGGGUGAUCGGCCACACUGGAACUGAGACACGGUCCAGACUCCUACGGGAGGCAGCAGUAGGGAAUCUUCCGCAAUGGGCGAAAGCCUGACGGAGCAACGCCGCGUGAGUGAUGAAGGUCUUCGGAUCGUAAAACUCUGUUAUUAGGGAAGAACAUAUGUGUAAGUAACUGUGCACAUCUUGACGGUACCUAAUCAGAAAGCCACGGCUAGCUACGUGCCAGCAGCCGCGGUAAUACGUAGGUGGCAAGCGUUAUCCGGAAUUAUUGGGCGUAAAGCGCGCGUAGGCGGUUUUUUAAGUCUGAUGUGAAAGCCCACGGCUCAACCGUGGAGGGUCAUUGGAAACUGGAAAACUUGAGUGCAGAAGAGGAAAGUGGAAUUCCAUGUGUAGCGGUGAAAUGCGCAGAGAUAUGGAGGAACACCAGUGGCGAAGGCGACUUUCUGGUCUGUAACUGACGCUGAUGUGCGAAAGCGUGGGGAUCAAACAGGAUUAGAUACCCUGGUAGUCCACGCCGUAAACGAUGAGUGCUAAGUGUUAGGGGGUUUCCGCCCCUUAGUGCUGCAGCUAACGCAUUAAGCACUCCGCCUGGGGAGUACGACCGCAAGGUUGAAACUCAAAGGAAUUGACGGGGACCCGCACAAGCGGUGGAGCAUGUGGUUUAAUUCGGAGCAACGCGAAGAACCUUACCAAAUCUUGACAUCCUUUGACAACUCUAGAGAUAGAGCCUUCCCCUUCGGGGGACAGAGUGACAGGUGGUGCAUGGUUGUCGUCAGCUCGUGUCGUGAGAUGUUGGGUUAAGUCCCGCAACGAGCGCAACCCUUAAGCUUAGUUGCCAUCAUUAAGUUGGGCACUCUAAGUUGACUGCCGGUGACAAACCGGAGGAAGGUGGGGAUGACGUCAAAUCAUCAUGCCCCUUAUGAUUUGGGCUACACACGUGCUACAAUGGACAAUACAAAGGGCAGCGAAACCGCGAGGUCAAGCAAAUCCCAUAAAGUUGUUCUCAGUUCGGAUUGUAGUCUGCAACUCGACUACAUGAAGCUGGAAUCGCUAGUAAUCGUAGAUCAGCAUGCUACGGUGAAUACGUUCCCGGGUCU